UACGGGGGGGGCAAGCGUUGUUCGGAAUUACUGGGCGUAAAGGGCUCGUAGGCGGCCAACUAAGUCAGAUGUGAAAUCCCCAGGCUUAACCGGGGAACUGCGUUUGAUACUGGAUGGCUUGAGUUUGGGAGAGGGAUGCGGAAUUCCAGGUGUAGCGGUGAAAUGCGUAGAUAUCUGGAGGAACACCGGUGGCGAAGGCGGCAUCCUGGACCAAUACUGACGCUGAGGAGCGAAAGCUAGGGGAGCAAACGGG
rnacentral:rRNA from 1 species